GGCACAGUGGCUUAGUGGUUAGCACGUUUGCCUCACGCCUCAGGGGUGGGGGGUUCGAAUCCUGCCUCCCUCCUGUGUGC